GUGGGAAUAGCUCAGUGGUAGAGUGUGUGCUUAGCAAGCAGAAGGUCCUGGGUUCAAUCCCCAGUACCUCCA
rnacentral:tRNA from 1 species